rnacentral:rRNA from 1 species
UACGGAGGAUGCAAGCGUUAUCCGGAAUGAUUGGGCGUAAAGCGUCCGCAGGUGGCUAUGUAAGUCUGCUGUUAAAGAGUGAGGCUCAACCUCAUAAGAGCAGUGGAAACUACAUGGCUAGAGUGCGUUCGGGGCAGAGGGAAUUCCUGGUGUAGCGGUGAAAUGCGUAGAGAUCAGGAAGAACACCCGUGGCUAAGGCGGCUCUCUAGUACGGUACUGACGCUGAGACGCGAAAGCGUGGGGAGCGAACAGG